rnacentral:hammerhead_ribozyme from 1 species
AUCCAGCUGACGAGUACCAAAUAGGACGAAACACGCGUCCUGAAU